GACGAACGCUGGCGGCGUGCCUAAUACAUGCAAGUUGAGCGCUGAAGGUUGGUACUUGUACCAACUGGAUGAGCAGCGAACGGGUGAGUAACGCGUGGGGAAUCUGCCUUUGAGCGGGGGACAACAUUUGGAAACGAAUGCUAAUACCGCAUAAAAACUUUAAACACAAGUUUUUAGUUUGAAAGAUGCAAUUGCAUCACUCAAAGAUGAUCCCGCGUUGUAUUAGCUAGUUGGUGAGGUAAAGGCUCACCAAGGCGAUGAUACAUAGCCGACCUGAGAGGGUGAUCGGCCACAUUGGGACUGAGACACGGCCCAAACUCCUACGGGAGGCAGCAGUAGGGAAUCUUCGGCAAUGGACGAAAGUCUGACCGAGCAACGCCGCGGGAGUGAAGAAGGUUUUCGGAUCGUAAAACUCUGUUGGUAGAGAAGAACGUUGGUGAGAGUGGAAAGCUCAUCAAGUGACAGUAACUACCCAGAAAGGGACGGCUAACUACGUG
rnacentral:rRNA from 1 species